CCUACGGGUGGCUGCAGUGGGGAAUAUUGGACAAUGGGCGAAAGCCUGAUCCAGCCAUGCCGCGUGUGUGAAGAAGGCCUUCGGGUUGUAAAGCACUUUCAGUGGGGAAGAAAGCCUUGGGGCUAAUACCCUCGAGGAAGGACAUCACCCACAGAAGAAGCACCGGCUAACUCCGUGCCAGCAGCCGCGGUAAUACGGAGGGUGCGAGCGUUAAUCGGAAUUACUGGGCGUAAAGCGCGCGUAGGCGGUCUGAUAAGCCGGUUGUGAAAGCCCCGGGCUCAACCUGGGAACGGCAUCCGGAACGGUCAGGCUAGAGUGCAGGAGAGGAAGGUAGAAUUCCCGGUGUAGCGGUGAAAUGCGUAGAGAUCGGGAGGAAUACCAGUGGCGAAGGCGGCCUUCUGGACUGACACUGACGCUGAGGUGCGAAAGCGUGGGUAGCAAACAGGAUUAGAUACCCCAGUAGUC
rnacentral:rRNA from 1 species